GUGAACUUUCAAUCCGACUUGUUCCCUAUCUACGAGGCACGUCAGCACUGAUUCUGUUUGUACUCCUCUUUAACAUUCUCAUUGCAAUGUUCACAGAUCGAUACCAAAAGAUAAUAACACAGAGCAAAAUGCACUGGUUGUACAACUUUAAGGAGCUUAUCGAUGAUUACGAAGAGAAACCAAUUUUACCACCGCCUUUUGUUAUGUUGUUUACGCCACAUAUGAUGUUGUUCGGUCUGAUGUGGUGUUUUACAAUUCCACUUCAAGCCUGUACCGAUCCCAGGCACAAGCGUUCUCUAACAACUCUGUCAAGGAUCCUUUGCAAAUGCAGACUCGGAAAAUUAAAACGAGGCUCGGAAUGCUUUGUGAAAUUUUACCUGUCAUCUGCAGUGAAGCAAAAAACCCAGCUUACUGUGAAAAGAAUUCACAAUGUUUUAUCAGAG